GGCUGGGAGCGGCUCCGGAGCCAAAGGAGGAUUUGGGAUCGCCCGAUCCAGAGCGCUGAGAGGAUCAGCGGGAAUCAAGGAUCCCGUGGCCUCCGCUCGCCGCGGGCGCCGGGGCAGGAGCCCGGAGCUGGACGGGCCCGGAGAGUCCGAGGAAGCACCGGAAUUCCGGGAUACCCAUUGUGGGAGAGCCAUCUCCUUCCCACGUCCGGUUCCCAGCGGCCGGAAUUCCAAAAUUCUGGAAUUCCCAAGAAUUCACUCACCCAACCAAUCCCGGCUUGGAAUUUCACGGGAUCGGAUCCCGACCAGAGGUCUGUGAUCCCCGAUCCCAUAAAUCCACAUUUCCAGGGAUGGUGGGAAUUAAAUCCGAAUUUCCCAAAAUUGUGGGAAAUAAAUCUGAAUUUCCCAAAAUUGUGGGAAGUAAGUCUGAAAUUUUUUGGGAUUGUGGGAAGUAAAUCUGAAUUUUGCAGGG
rnacentral:lncRNA from 14 species